rnacentral:rRNA from 1 species
AGAGUUUGAUCCUGGCUCAGGAUGAACGCUAGCUACAGGCUUAACACAUGCAAGUCGAGGGGAAACGGCAUUGAGUGCUUGCACUCUUUGGACGUCGACCGGCGCACGGGUGAGUAACGCGUAUCCAACCUUCCCAUUACUGUGGGAUAACCUGCCGAAAGGCAGACUAAUACCGCAUAGUCUUCGAUGACGGCAUCAGAUUUGAAGUAAAGAUUUAUCGGUAAUGGAUGGGGAUGCGUCUGAUUAGCUUGUUGGCGGGGUAACGGCCCACCAAGGCAACGAUCAGUAGGGGUUCUGAGAGGAAGGUCCCCCACAUUGGAACUGAGACACGGUCCAAACUCCUACGGGAGGCAGCAGUGAGGAAUAUUGGUCAAUGGGCGAGAGCCUGAACCAGCCAAGUAGCGUGCAGGAUGACGGCCCUAUGGGUUGUAAACUGCUUUUGUAUGGGGAUAAAGUUAGGGACGUGUCCCUAUUUGCAGGUACCAUACGAAUAAGGACCGGCUAAUUCCGUGCCAGCAGCCGCGGUAAUACGGAAGGUCCAGGCGUUAUCCGGAUUUAUUGGGUUUAAAGGGAGCGUAGGCUGGAGAUUAAGUGUGUUGUGAAAUGUAGACGCUCAACGUCUGACUUGCAGCGCAUACUGGUUUCCUUGAGUACGCACAACGUUGGCGGAAUUCGUCGUGUAGCGGUGAAAUGCUUAGAUAUGACGAAGAACUCCGAUUGCGAAGGCAGCUGACGGGAGCGCAACUGACGCUUAAGCUCGAAGGUGCGGGUAUCGAACAGGAUUAGAUACCCUGGUAGUCCGCACAGUAAACGAUGGAUGCCCGCUGUUGGUACCUGGUAUCAGCGGCUAAGCGAAAGCAUUAAGCAUCCCACCUGGGGAGUACGCCGGCAACGGUGAAACUCAAAGGAAUUGACGGGGGCCCG